UUCAGUUUGAUGGACUUUGGACAUCUUUUCAGGGAAGAGGCCUGAAUUUUGUGACUCCUGUGCUCAUUUCUACUACAACUACUACAUUGAGCACCUGUGCCUGUGAAUGCCUUUAGCAUGUUCUACAGAUACAGUUGGUUGGUCUUUAUACAGUUAUGGGGGAAAUGCUUUUGCUGAAGAAACACUGAUUCUUCACGUGGGCUAUGAGGUAUAAGCGGCAUGUGGAUGUCUGGUGCCCGUGGAUGCUUAGAAGAGUGUACCAGCUCCCUCGGAACUGGGAUUACAGACUAUUGUGAGCCACCAUUUGGCUGCUUUGAACUGAACCCAGGUCCGUUGUAAGAGCAGCUGGUGUUUCCAGCCCCUCACAAUAUGUUUUUAAGUAUCAAUUAAUGAUGCCUAAUCAAUGUGUUUUGGAUAGAAACAGAAGAAGAUCACCUGUUCAAACUAUGAAGCUGGAACCAGAUGUUUGUUUCCCACUAAUCUAGGAAGUCAGGUCAUAUGAGUUUUAUAUUACUGCUGGUCUAGAGGCCUUUCCAGAAGAGUCUUGGGAGGAACAAUUUAAAAACCUCAUCAUUUGCGAAUGGAAUUAAACCUGUGACUCUGCCCCACCCAGACUGGAAUGCCAAAGAGAUUUUCUCAAAGGAGCUAAAGGCAUCAAUUUACUUCAAGAGGAUGAUGGGCUUCAAAGAGACUUCUUAUAGAAUUGAUUCAUCAUUUGCACAAGAACCUGCUUUUGCCUGGAUUGCUUGAUGUUAUACACUAUGAACUGGACAUGCAGGACUCACAGAAAAAUGACUGCUGAACUUGCUUAAAGGUCUUGGCAGCCGGGAAACAAACCAGCAGCCUCUGUCUGCAACUGAACUUUGCCAAGACAAUGAGGUGUCAGGAUAUGCUGCCCAGAAUUCCCUCCAGGUCUGAGACCUGCUACUUGUCCUGAAUCUCAGCUGCUGGCGCGUCACAGUCAAGACUUCUUUAGGAGGCCUGGUCCAGGCUGAAGGGAACUGCUGUCCCUAAUGACCAGUUCUCCAGGGAAACUUCCAAUGACUUGUCUUUGUGGAGCUGCAUCCUGGCACAUCUUGGAAGAGCCCUGCUAGCUCUACCGUGUCUGACUGGUGUCAUCUGAUUCCUCUGCCAGUUCCGCUUCUCAUGUUUCCCUAAGAUCACCACCUGUAAACUGCCUGAACACAUGUUUUCGCCUCACAGUCUGAUUCUCAGAAACAAUCAGUUAUGGUACUAAUCAAAUAAUACUGAGUACCUGUUUUACAUCAACUACGGUGCCCAUCCUGGGAAUAUAUAGGAAAGUAGGAAGAAAAGGCUCUUGGUAGAGUGUGUAAGGAUUACAUUCUAGUGGGGUUCCACAAGUGGCUCAACAAUACAUGGAUAUCACCAAAGAAGGCUUCAGAUAGUGAGAAAACUAUCAAGGGUGCAAGGCAAGACAAUCUACUGAGACUUUGUUUGAGGGUCUGUGUACAUGUUUGUAGUAUGUGUACAUUUGUACUCAGGGAAACGCAACUUUAAAAGGUGUUAAGAGUUUGUUGAGAGGCUUGCAGAUCAAUAAGGGGCUGAGAUACUGACAUGUUAAGAAAAGGUGCUCAAAGUAAGUACGAGAGGAACUUUGGCAACCAUUAUGAUAAUUAAUGAGGAUGAACGAUGGUGCGUGCCUGGAGGGGAGAAUGCCGCAUAAAAUCGCUUUUAAUCUGGAGCUGGGGUAGCACACAUAUCAACUCAAAGCAAAGAAAACUUUCUCAUUCUUGUCCUGUUGUGUGUCUGUGGCUUUAAAGUCAGUGGAUGCUCCAAAUAAAAAUUCUAGUGUUAUUCUCCAUGAAGUUCAAAUCACUGUGCUGUUUAGGAUGGAGGUCAGUUCUUCAUCCAGAAGCAUAACCUUAGAAGGUUAGGUAGACUUUAGAAAAAAUUCUUUGUUUUAUUAAUAUUUAAUUUUCAUUAUUUCUAGAAAACAGUUCAAAAGCAGGCCCUUUUUGUGGUGAAUAAAAAAAAUGAGGUCACCUCAGAAAGAGAUCACGCAGCCUUCUUUUUUAAUAUUGUAGAAUAAAUUGUUCACUCUGUAAUGUAAAACUCACUCUUUUCUCUCUCCAUCAAAGUAUUUUUGAAAGGACAUCAUUAUUCUUUAUUAGCCGAAUGCAAACAGCAUAGUACUUGACAAUCCUAGCCUUUCAGACUUCUUUUCACCUUCUUAUUUCAACACUCUUUGCAACUGCUUCACAAUGCGUUUGCCUCUGAUUUAAAAGCUUCUUUCUCAUGAGGUAGAUUAGAAAGAGCUCAACUCUGUAGGUACGGAGGGCUCAGGAGUUUCUAGAGCACGGAAAGUGACGGGCGGAGAAGAAUGAUACAGGGAGGACGCCAAAGAGUUCCUGCAGUGUGAGGAAAUCCUUGGGGGUGGGGUGAGGGGCGCAAAGAUAGUUUUCCUACUCCCACCAGUAUUCCAGGAGGACGAAGGAUGGAACUUGUCUUCAUCUGCAUUUUAGCUCAAGAAGACAAGGAAACAAUCACUCCAAGAGUCCUGAUAGUCCAGUAAACUGCUCUGGUAGAGAGUGUCCACUGUUUCGGGCAUUCAAAUGGCAAAGGGAUUAUAGAAAAAUGACCAGGUGUUUAAGGCCAUUGACAACACAAAGGACGUUGUUCUGUAUUAAAUGUUGGUCUGAAUGAGGUGAACUAGAGGUGUUCAGUCAAGCCAAGCUUUUGUGAUCUUUUGGCAAGAGCUGAAACUGCAAGUGGAGUGGGAAAAUGGCCUUUGUAGUAAGACACUGAGGUCCGGAGGAGGGGAUGUUUCUUCUCCGGCAUGGCUGAGAGCUUCUUGUUUCUGCAGAAAUGUAUCAGUUUUCCAUCAGCUUAGACAGCCCUUGAUAAUGAGAAUAGUUAAAAUAACGGUAGCAUCACUCUGUAUGCCCCAGGCAUUGUGUUCAGUACUUUAUACAUAUACAUGACCCAAUUUCUUCCUACAGCCAGUUGAUACAUUAUUAAUAUCAUAUUUGAUUUAUAUAUACUAUAAGAAAACUGUGGCGGAACAUUUAAGUGGCUUGCUGAAGGUCCCAAGUGAUAGACAGCUUGUUGGUCCUGGAUGAGUCUGGAGUCUAGGCUCUCAAGCAGUUGUUUUAUCCUUCCUCUUUGCCACCUUGAGUCUCAACCUUCUCACCUGUAACUCUAGGCUAGGAGAGUAGCCAUGUGUCCCCUUCCCUCCGCUUGACACAGCUCUCAGGAAUGAUGUGGGUCAAGAAAGAUGUCCAGGUUCCCCUCUCCACUUUCCAGAGCAAUGGAGGAAGAAUCUAAAAAAAGGAUUCUGGAAGGGAGAUGCCAGUAGGACACUGGUGCUGACUUAGCAAUGCUGCAGUGUUACAUUUUCCUUGUUGGGGCUGCUUUGCAUUGGUGUGAUCUGGUAGAACAUCCCUCACAUGUGAUUAACCUCUAGGGCUCUGGAAAGGCUGAAUCAAGAUGAAAGGCCAGGAUGCAAGCUGUCUUCAUGGCUCAUUUACAGUAAGGCCUCAAGAAACAUGCAUGGUUUAAAUGGUUUUCAGGGUGGCUGGGUCUAAACGGACAAAAAAAAAAUCCAACUCAUCCUUCCCGUAUACUAUUGACGCCCAAGGUAUGCCAGCAAAUCUAGUCAUGAGCCUGCAUGGUUGGUCCAUGAAACAGCAAGUGGACUGUACAAAGUCAUAACAAACCACAAACGACAGAAAUAACCAAGCACAAGUGUUCCUCCAAUUGUUUAGAUACUAACUGCUCUCUUUGGAAUCUUCUGAAAAGUACACCAUAUCCGAUUUACUAAAGUUUCAGGGAAGCAC